UACGUAGGGGGCGAGCGUUGUCCGGAUUUAUUGGGCGUAAAGAGCGUGUAGGCGGCCAUACAGGUCCGUUGUGAAAACUGGAGGCUUAACCUCCAGACGUCGAUGGAAACCGUAUGGCUAGAGUCCGGAAGAGGAGACUGGAAUUCCUGGUGUAGCGGUGAAAUGCGCAGAUAUCAGGAGGAACACCGGUGGCGAAGGCGGGUCUCUGGGCCGAUACUGACGCUGAGGAGCGAAAGCGUGGGGAGCGAACAGG
rnacentral:rRNA from 1 species